rnacentral:rRNA from 1 species
UACGUAGGGGGCAAGCGUUGUCCGGAAUCAUUGGGCGUAAAGCGCGCGUAGGCGGCCCGGUAAGUCCGCUGUAAAAGUCCAGGGCUCAACCCUGGAAAGCCGGUGGAUACUGUCGGGCUAGAGUCCGGAAGAGGCGAGUGGAAUUCCUGGUGUAGCGGUGGAAUGCGCAGAUAUCAGGAGGAACACCAAUGGCGAAGGCAGCUCGCUGGGACGUGACUGACGCUGAGACGCGAAAGCGUGGGGAGCGAACAGG